rnacentral:rRNA from 1 species
AUAUCAAUAAGCGGAGGAAAAGAAACCAACCGGGAUUGCCUCAGUAACGGCGAGUGAAGCGGCAAGAGCUCAAAUUUGAAAUCUGGCCCCUUCCCCGGGGUCCGAGUUGUAAUUUGGAGAGGAUGCUUCGGGUCCGGUCCCGGUCCAAGUGCCCUGGGAUGGGCCGUCGGAGAGGGUGAGAAUCCCGUCUGCGACCGGUGGCUGGGCCUGGGUGAAGCUCCCUCGACGAGUCGAGUUGUUUGGGAAUGCAGCUCUAAAUGGGUGGUAAAUUUCAUCUAAAGCUAAAUAUGGGCCGGAGACCGAUAGCGCACAAGUAGAGUGAUCGAAAGAUGAAAAGCACUUUGGAAAGAGAGUCAAACAGCAC